rnacentral:lncRNA from 1 species
UUAUGGCACCCUCAACGGAGUUGGGGUGACAUAUUGUUAUUGUUCGUUUCUUUUUUUUUCUGGAGUUUUAUUCUACGUUAUUAUUUUUCUUCCACUAUUUUUUCCGGAGCAGUUCUCAGAAUAGAAUGGACAAAGUUGAUGGAACUAUGGUAUAAUGUGACCACCAUGCGAAGUUGUCCCUCUGACUUGAAUGGUCAAGAUGGCCAACGUUACCAUGGAACAAAAAUGCGAAAAACAUCAAAUGUUCCAAAGUGAAAAACUCACAGGAAUGGUAACUGCUGUGCUGAUUACAGUUUGACUGGAAUUUUCAAAAUGGCCGCCGUUACCAUGGAAACUGCAAAAAUGUCAAAAAUUUCAAAAGCUCCAAAAUUUAUGAACUUUUAAAAAUGUUAAUCAAGUGUAGAUGCACUCUUUGACUUUGAAUUUCAAAAUGGCUGCCCCUGGCAAUGGGGGAGGGUGCCAUCCGUUAUUGCUAGCAAUUACAAAUCUAGUUACAUUGGGGUGACAUAUUGUUAUUGGGGGUGACAUAUUGUUAUUGUUCGUUUCUUUUUUUCUUAUUAUUAUAUUUAUUCUUCCACACAUUUUUGUCCAUACUAUUUCUCAGAAUUGGCUUGAACAAUAUUGAUGGAACUAUACCAUAAUGUAGACCACCACAUUCUAUAGUGCAGUGGGGUAUGGCACCAUCAAGAUGGCUGCCGUUGCCAUGGAAACGAAACAAAUGUGAAAAAAUUUCUGUUUUUUGUUUUGGUGAACUGUUUGGAAUAUGCUUAACUCAGAAUCAUUAUAUUUUAAUACAAUGUAGGUGCCCACUAUAUACAGGUGUUGGAUGAUUUUGGCACUCAUUGGAACUACUAUGUUGCCAUGGAAACUACACCAAAAAUUUCAAAAAUAUCAAAAUGCUCCAAACUUCAUGAAACUUCACAGUAACGAUGAGCAACAUUGGAAGAUGUGGAAUUUGGCGUUGGAAUUUCCAAAAUAUCUGUUGUUACCAUGGAAACAAUGCAAAAAGGUCAAAACUUUGAAUUUUCACAGAACAUUCCAGAACAUCAAUGUUAAAUUUAUUCUAGAGACAUUAAAUGGUAUAUGAUGGUAUAUAUGAUUAUGGAGGGAAAAAAUUGCAGCGGGGGUUUGACUUUGGAAUAUUCAAAAUGGCCGCCGUUACCAUGGGAACAGCAAAAUUAUGAAAAACUUCAAAAUGCUUUAAAUUUAAUGAAACUUAUAACAAAUUUUGCCUAGCUUAUGUAGACUUAACUUUUGAGUUUCGAAUUUUCAAAAUGGCCGCCGUUGCCAUGGAAACAGCAAAAAUUUUCUAAAUGGCUGCCGCUGGCCUGGCAAUGGGGAAAGGGUGCCAUCCGCUAUUGCUUGCAAUGGCAAAUCUAGUUAUGGCACCCUCAACGGAGUUGGGGUGACAUAUUGUUAUUGUUCGUUUCUUUUUAUGUCACCCUGACGGAGGUCGGGUGACAUAUUGUUAUUGUACGAUUCUUUUUUUUUUCUUUAUUAUUCCACACUUUUUUGUCCAGACUAUUUCUCGGAAUUGCAUGGACCAAUGAUGAUGGAAGUGUACCAUAAUGUUAACCCCCAUGUGCAGAUGUGCAAUCGGGGGUUGGCAUUUCCAAGAUGGCUGUCGUUGUCAUGGAAACAGAAAUAAUGUGAAAAAUCGGAAAGUGUUCCAAAAUGAAUAAAACUUUGUGGAAAUGUUACUUGGCAUGCGAAGACUUGAAAUCCAUCUUUGGAAUUUCCAAAAUGGCGGCCGUUGCCAUAGAAACAGUACAAACAUCCAAAUUUUCAAAAUGCUUUAAAUUUUCGGAAAAUUCGCAAAAUGAUGAAUUGUAAAGUGAAUUAAGUUAAUUCAAUGUUAAAAGUUUCGAAAUGGCUGCCACUUAGUGGCAAUUGGCGGACCAGGGUGACAUCCGCUAUUGCUUGCAAUGGCAAUUCUAGUUUUUUUUUAUUAUGGCACCCUCAACGGAGUUGGGGUGACAUCUUGUUAUUGUUCGUUUCUUUUUUUCUUUUUAUUAUUAUUAUUAUUAUUUUUAUUCUUCCACACAUUUUGUCCAUACUAUUUCUCAGAAUUGGUCAGACCAAUGUUGAUGGAACUAUACCAUAAUAUGAACCGCCAUGUGAAGUUGUGCAAGAGACAUUGGAAUGGUAAAAAAUGGC